rnacentral:rRNA from 1 species
CAGCUAGUUGGCGGGGUAAUGGCCCACCAAGCCUGCGAUCAGUAACUGGUGUGAGAGCACGACCAGUCACACGGGCACUGAGGCACGGGCCCGACUCCUACGGGAGGCAGCAGUAAGGAAUAUUGGUCAAUGGACGCAAGUCUGAACCAGCCAUGCCGCGUGGAGGAUUAAGGCCCUCUGGGUUGUAAACUCCUUUUAUCUGGGAAGAAAUCCACAUAUUCUUAUGUGGUUGACGGUACCAGAGGAAUAAGCACCGGCUAACUCCGUGCCAGCAGCCGCGGUAAUACGGAGGGUGCAAGCGUUAUCCGGAUUCACUGGGUUUAAAGGGUGCGUAGGCGGGUAAGUAAGUCCGUGGUGAAAUCUCUGAGCUUAACUCAGAAACUGCCGUGGAUACUAUUUGCCUUGAAUAUUGCGGAGGUGAGCGGAAUAUGUCAUGUAGCGGUGAAAUGCUUAGAUAUGACAUAGAACACCAAUUGCGAAGGCAGCUCACUACACAAUCAUUGACGCUGAGGCACGAAAGCGUGGGGAUCAAACAGGAUUAGAUACCCUGGUAGUCCACGCCCUAAACGAU